rnacentral:lncRNA from 1 species
UCAUCCUCAUCUAAUGCCUCAAACGGAACCGCGGUGAGCCCCUAAUCGUGAUGCUUGUGUUUGUUUUGUUUGUUGGGUGACUUUCCACGCUCAUUCCCGGCAACGUCACCGGGCGUUCGCUGUCGAUCGUGGAGCACCUGUUGCUCCAGGGAGUCCCCUGGCCCUGGGCAUGGCGUCGCCGCCCCUCCUCCUCGCGCCCUGCUACGUUUCCCCCUAUCCCGAGCCACGCUAGUGCGCCCGUGCCCAAACCGUGCAUGCCUCUUAUCUGUUUAGGGGUGCAGGGACUUGAUUGGAGAAGAAGGAGAAGUUCCACGGGGUGUUGCAUAAAAAGUUAGUAUUUAUGUGUGAGGUGGAAUCCGUUCAGGGGCUAGAGUGUGAAACGUAGAGGGUAGAUGGUUAAGAGAAGGGUAGAUCUGAGAAAGGAAUUGUUUUUCCAGGGGGUAGCUUGCAAAGUUGCUAGGUUUUGUUUUGUUUGCUAAAGUAAAAAAAUUGCAAACUUUGAAAAUGCAUAGAAAACUGUAGGAAAUUGCUAAAAAUGUGAUUCUUAUUUUGGAUUCCUUGUAGUGUCUAGUUUAUUUCAAAAAUGAUUUUGUGCACACUGCUAUUUUAUAUUUUGUGCUAUGAUUUAUUUUGUGUGAAAGCCUUUAAAUGCUUUAUAAAUCACAUAGUGCUCUAAAAAUUGUGGAAUCACUUUUGUUAGUUUCCUUGUAACAUGCAUGUUCAGACAUACAACUUGUGUGAGUAGAAUUUGUAGUGUUCCUACUGUUUUAGAUUUAAAUGCUUACUUGCUAUGUUAAUCUAGUUAUUUGCAUAAUAAAUAGUGGAAAAGUGAUAAAAUGAUGAAACCAUCACUAUUAGUCUUUGUGUUCCACAUAGAAUCUAGGAAAAAUGAUACUAAAAAUUUUAUGGUUGAUUUGCAAACCUUUUUAGAUUUAAUGUGCUUAAUGGUAGUUUAACUUGUUUAACUCAUAUUUCCACAUUAAAAAUUGAUUUUGGGGUGAAUCCAAGUCUCAUGAUUUUGUGUUGAUUGUCUUCUGUUGAUACCAUGACUAUUUCUCAACAGAUAAUUUUAAUCUUGCAAUUUCGUGGUUACUUUUGACUUAUCAUGCAAACUAGUUUUUUUCGUCCUCUUGUAUGACCUUGUACUAUUUAGCUAGUGUCGGGGGGACAUAUUAAUGCCUUCCUUAUAUUCCUUAAACGACGGUCAUAAGGGCCUGGGCCCAUCUCCCGCAACAAUGAUCUCUGCCUCGCCCGACCCCCCCGAGGCCGCUCCUCAUCCCAGCCGAGAGUAUUUCGCCUCGCCCGACCCCUCGUCGUAAGGCUCCACCUCGCCCGACCCCGGGCGCAAGGGGUCGGACGCGCCCGAUCCCUCAUCGCCUAACCCCGAGGGCUAAGGGUUGGACAUAUCCGGACCCACAGGGCAGAGCUUCACCUCGCCCAAGGACGUGCGUGGACUAGCAGAUGAGGGCGCAGGUCUUGUGGGCCCCCACCGAUCUCGCCAUAAAUGCAACCGAUGGGACGCCCAUGUCCAGAAUACGGCUCUGACACAUGGAGAGGCGCCCGCGUUCCUCGAUGUGACCCACCCGAGUUUUCGGGCGGCGCACUGCUGCCACGACUGCACAGGGCUACAGCUGCACCAUCCUAACCCUCCCCUGUGAUAUUCGUCAUAGGAUACUCAUCGCCCAUGCUGGCUAACGAAGGAGGGUGCGCCGUCCGGUUUCCUGCUCGUCCUGGCGGUAGGGGCAUGUCAGUCGCGCCCCCCGGUCGGCAUGCGUGGCUACAGUGGUCACCCGUCAUUCGCGACAUGCACGGCUAUGGUGGCCAGUCAUCAUCAUCAACUCGCACAGCUACAGUGGUCGGUCACCAUGCACGUCUCACGUGUUCGACUGAAGUGGCCGACCGCUGGGUCAUCGAUGGGACCCAACGGCAACCACCCCUCCUUGGUGGCCAUGCUAACGAGACGCACAAAUCAGAAGGGAAGGCAGCAACCCCGGUGGCUCGGCCCAUCUCCCUGUGCUUUGCCUUCCUUUCUUACCUUUCUACCUUUUUAAUUUCCUUACGCCCGGCUCAUUUGUAACCCCUGUAUCCUCAUUGCACUAUAAAAGGAGACCAGGGGGCCUGACGGCUCUUGAGCGAACCGAACGACCCCCAAUUCACAACCCUUCCACACGAGCAUCAGUACACACCCACAGAGACUUGGGACCAGCUUCCCUCUCUCACCCGUUUGUAACCCCUACUACAAACUUGGCACGAGUAACACUAGCAGCCUCCAACACUGGACGUAGGGCUAUUCCUGCCUGAACCAGUAUAAAUUUUGUGUCCUCUCGAGCAACCAUCCAGGCCUUACACGCAUAGAAAACAAAUUUACUUGCCAGAGUCUUGACCCGUGAUUCUUGACACCGACAAUUGGCGCGCUAGGUAGGGGGCCUUUGCACGUAUGACGAUCAUCACCGGCUUCGGAUGGCCAACCACAACAUCGACUUCGCUCUCGGCUUCCACAUCCGCUUCAAGAGCCUGGACUUCCUCACCACGGGAGAGGGAAUCGAGCUGAUUCCUCUCCUCGUCCUGCCCGCUCACCCCAUCACCUCCAGCUCCGCCGCCUGAACAGUGGUAAGCGGCUAGGCGCGCACCACGGGGCCUCCUUCGGAGGAGUGGCCCUUUGGCCUACGCAACGCCGCAAUGACUUAUGGUCGUAUCUUGGCACGAUCCAUGAUCGUGCCACCCGCGAACAAUGAGUUCGUGGGCGUAAUGGAAAUGGCCUCCGACGCUGGUUCCGACAACGGGAGCCACCACCCCUCGCGUGAGUGGUUCAUGGCCGACGUGCACUGCGUGGGGUCCAAUGACGAUGGCGGCGAAGGGAGGCAAUGCACUCCCCCACCACGCACUGCAGCUACAGCCGGAGCCCUCGCCAGGGUCCCAGAGAAGCCUUGGCUGCCGGAGGCGUGCGCGGUGCCCAAUCAGGAGGCCGAGCACCCCCGCAAUGAAGGUGGGGCGUGUCAACGGGCACGCGACGUCCAACGGCACAUCCGAAGGACAAGGAACGUCCUCAACUCUUCGCACGCGCCAGCUAGAACAUUGCUGCCACAGCGGCCCUACUCCGACGACUCCCCAAGCCAGCGAUGCCAGAGGAGCGACAGGCCCACCAAGAGGUGCGCAACCUGCUUGAGUGCGCCGCAGUCCAGUAGAUGGUGAGCUUCGCGUCCCAGCGACGCGGGCACAACGCCAGCAGGGCAGCGCCCACCGCGCCUCCUGAAAGGUGUUGGGAGUCUAUCCACCAGCCUCCCCCCGGGGGGAACCGGGCCGCGCCCGCUCGACGGCCCCCACCGUCUGCAGGUGGCGGAGCCCCAUCUGUCCACCGGCGCGUUGGUCCCGUCCGCGACGCUCAUGACACCCUGGAUGCGCGGAGGCGCUCCCGCGCAGACAGGGAGGAUGGAGCCGACCGCGGCUACCACGUACACCGUGGUGGCCGCUACGACAGUGAAGAAGAUCGGAACCCGAGCCCUGACCCAGCGGGGCCCAGGGCCUUCUCCGCACGCAUCCUGAACGCACCGUUCCCGGCAUGUUUCAGGCAGCCCACCAACAUGGCCAAGUACUCCGGGGAGACAAACUCAGGGCUUUGGCUCAGGGACUACUGGCUUGCUUGUCAGGCCGAUGGGGCGGAUGACGACCUGUUCAUCAUCCGCAACCUCCCUCUGUUCUUAGCCAACUCAGUGCGAGCUAGGAUGGAACACCUUCCGUCAGGUCGGAUCCGGAACUGGAAUGACCUAAAGGAAAUCUUUGUAGGGAACUUCGAGGGCACGUACGUGCACCCCGGAAACUCCUGGGACCUCCGGAGCUGCCGCCAGAGGUCGGAUGAGUCCCUCCAAGACUACAUCCGACGCUUCUCCAGGAAGCGCACCGAGCUCUCCAAUGUCGUCGAUACCGACAUCAUCAGAGCCUUCCUUGCGGGAACCUCCUGCAGGCCCCUGGUCCACAAACUGGGACAUAUGGGCCCAUGGACCACCGAGGAGCUCCUCAACAUCGCCACCAACUUCGCCUUGGGCGAGGAGGCCGUUGGGGCGAUCUUCGAUUGCUCCAAGGGCAAGGCGAAGCAGGAGGAGGACGCCGGCGAAGGCACCUCCAACCAUCAGAAGAAGAGGAAUAUCGAAUAGCUAAGUCGCUUUUACCUUUAGCUGUCAUUUCUAAGCGAUGUACAUGCCUCCACCAUUUCUGUUUGUGAAAAAAGGGGUGUUUUGAGUUGCUUUCGCUAAAGUUUUGUUCCAAGCUUAGGGAUAUCCGACCCUGGCUCUGCCCCAGGGUCGCAUAUUCCUCGGGGGCUGUCAAGGGCUCCAGCCCAAGACACUUGGCAUCCUCUCAAAACAUCACUUUUUCCAAACCGACCCUCUUCCUAAACGUUUGGACGCGAAAAGAGGAGUGCGCGAACGACGCUCAGGCAAGAUUGAUCGGACUGCGAGAAACCCACACCCCAGCGGCUACGGUGCCUUUGCUCAUCGGCGCUUCCCGACGCGCCUGACUCGCACUCUGAACUUUCGAAACCCAAAAAACAGAAAGAGGAUUGAAAACUUUUUCGAAAAAAUUGCAUAAACAAAGAGGCCUCUGUGGCCAUCACAAUGGCAAGUUCAGAGUUACUUAAUUCUUUACAUAUUUUUGGGCAUCUUUGCCCGAUACAGCUAACUCUCAUCACGGGUGCUCUAGCGGGAUGGCUUCGUCCUCCAAGAGCUACGCCAAGGCCUCUGCGGGAGCAAGCACCCACGCGUCAAUCUCGUCCAGCUCAGCCUCGGUAUAGCUUGAGGCGUACCCCCUGCUCAUCGCGUCGAAGUUGAGGCGGUUGUAGUAGGAUCCAAAGACGCCGAAGGCCCGCCUCACGCCAAUGUGGAGCACUUCAUGGGCGAUUUCGCGCGCCCACCGGUACGUCCCGAGGACACGAGCUGCCAGCAAGCUAGUCCCCUCCUCUUGGACCACCCCAAGGUCUUCGUAGAUGAUGCGGACGGCGUCCUGCAGGUUGGCAUGCUUGGUGCGCUCCGCAUCGGUGAUGUUCCUCAACCGUGCAAGGUCGCUCUCAUGACCUAUCCAAAAAAGCCCACAAAGUCAGAAACCAGCGCAACGCUGCAAACAAAGAAAAGAGGACAACGAAGUCCUUACCAUCAGAUUGGGCUCGUAGCAGACGUUCCUGGUCGACUCUUUGGGAUACAGCGGUCUGAAGACCCUGCACCUGCGACUGGAGCCGAUUGACCUCCUCGCUCAAGUCGGCCGCCAUCGUUUCGGCCCCAGCCUUCUGGCCCACCUCGCGAUCGCGAUCUCGGCUGGCCGUAUCAUGCUCCUGCUGAGCGGUGUGCCUCUCGUGCCGGAUGCACUCGACAGCCUUCUGAAGAGCUUCAUGCUCCUUCUUCAACCGGGCGAGCUCCUCGGCGUCACGACGGGCCUUCUCGGUGAUGACCCGGAGCUUGUCCUCCGCCCUUCACGCGCCUCCUUCUCCCGCGCUUCCAGGGCAGCGGCGUUCUGGUGUGCGGCGGCAAGCCACCCGGCCAGCUCCCCGCUCCGCCACUCCUCCCUGGAGAGGCGUUCCCAGACCCCCCGCUCACGCCGGAGGAACUCAGACUUCCCCCGGCUGCAGUCCUGAAGGGCCUGCAGAAUGAUUUGCGCUUAGAAAUCGUUUGAAAAAGGGACGGAAGAAGGAAAAAGAUAACCGCCAAAGAGAACACCAUACCUGGCUGGCGGGAGCGACGACGCCGUCCAACUUCCCCAUCGCGGAGGACAGGGCGGCACGGGCAUCUGCGAGCCUGCCCUGCACGUCCGACCAGCUCGCCGACAUCAUCCAAGACAAAGAGGGGCAUGUGCGGGUCUCCACUGGAGAACCAGCGCACGGUCGCCCCCCCCCCACGUGUUGGGGUCGUGUCCAACUUGGACGAGGGCGCCGGAAGACUCUCCGAUCGGUGCCAGCGGCUCGUUGACCGACGCCGACAGUCCUCCCGGAGUAGGCGCCGCCGUCUCCACCACCACCCUCGGAACAGGUGCCGCCGUCUUCGUCGCCGAUGCCGGGGCAGGCGCCACCAUCUCCGUCGCCGCCGCCGGGGCAUGCGCCACCGUCUCCACCACCACCGUUGUCACCACCGCCGUCGCCGGUGUCUCCACGAUCGGCGCCUCAGGCGUGGGCACCUCCCCCGCCGGCUCUUCCUCCUCCUCAAGGACUAUCACCUCGGUGUGCGGAGGAACCCCAAGGGCAGCAUCCUAUCCCACUGGGUCGGCUAUGGGGGCAGAAGAUGAGGCUUGGGCUGGCGCUUGCGCUACGCCCAACUGUGGCACCCCCUCUUCAGCUACCACCUUGGAGGCCGCCUCCACGCAGGGCACCACGGCCUCACCGACGACGCCGCCGCUCGCUCCCGGUGGGGUCACGGCUGGCCCCGCAGAAGUGGCCGACGAUCGGAGUGCCUUCUUUUGCGCCAGCAGCGGGUUGAAGCCACACGGAGCGGCACUGCAAAACAACGACGACUUCAUCAAACGCAAGAAUCAGCUCGACACCAGAAAAGAAUAAGGUACAUGGGAACUUUCCACUUACCUUGCUGCAGUACGAGGGCGGCAGGCGCGCUUCACCCCCGAGCUCAACGCCGACCCCGAGACAUCCGAUAGCGGCCGCUUGCCGCUACCCCUCUACUUGUGCAACGCAGGUAGAGGGUCGGGGGUCGGUCCCAUUGACUCCUAAGCAUGCCGCUCGCCGACCCUGAAGUGCAGCCUCCGAGCCCCGCGGGGUCGGGCCCUGGGCGGGCGGUUCACUCGACCUAUCCCUCGUGGCCGGUUGAGGAGGCUGGUCCCGGAUGACGAACGCAUCCGGCAUGAAGGCCGGGACAUAACCUUCCUCAUCCUCCUCCUCGGUCUCAUCUUCAUCAUCCUCAUCGUCAUCAUCGUCAUCGUUGUCCAUCCCGACCGCGCCCCUCCGCAGCCUUCAAAACUCCACCGCGGCUUUCUUCAUCUUCCUCGCCGUCUCCUUGUCUUUCCUUUUCUUCUAUGCUUCGGCAAGGAGGCGGUUCCGCUGCCUCUGCACCGCGUCCUCUGGCACCAGUGGACAGGAGGCUGCGACAUGGUUUAAGUUACCCUGCAGAUUCAAAGACUCCGUAUCAGAACAGCAAACCAGGAAAUGCAGGAAAGAAGAACGAGAGUGCGAAUUUCUCACCAGCAGGGCGUAGCCCUUGUCCGGGCGCAUCGGAGGGUGACCCAGCACCGGGAACACGACAUCCCUGUCGUCCAACGCGUCCUGGAUGCACUACUCGAUCUCGGCGUUGGCAAUCGCCCCCGUCACAAGGACGGUGCCAUCGGUCGUUGCCCCGGGAACCAUCUCGUCGAGCGAGCGGGCCCGCAGCAUCAAUGGCGCCACCCUCAGGGCGUGGUAUGCCCCAACAACUCCGGCCCCGAUCAGGCUCUCCUCCUUCAGACGAAUGAUGGCUUCAAGGAGACCCCGGAUAUUCUUCUUCUCCUUCUCAACAGGGCCAUACAUCCACGUUCCUGGUGCCUCCACGAUGACAUGGCCGGUGAACUCCAGCAAGGGGACGUCGGGACGGUUCUUCACAUAGAACCAUUGCUGAUGCCACCCCUUGUGGGACGACGAGGUCUUCAUCGACAUAUACUCGUUGGACCAGUGCCCGUGGAGGUGGAUGCCGGCGCACCCCAUCAGCACCGGAAUUGUCCGUGUCUGGUCUCCUCUCUUCUCGGUCCUCUGAUGAAGAGUGACCAUGAAGAAAUACUUCCAGAGGGCAAAGUUGGGCUCGAUCCCCAGGUAUCCCUCGCACAGCGCGACGAACGCCGUGAUGUGCUGGAUUCCGUUGGGGUUGAGGUGCUGCAGCUCGAUGCCAUGAUAGUACAACAGCCCCCGGAAGAAGCGACUCAAGGGAACCACGAACCCCCUCUCACGGAAGUGCGCGAAGGAGACGACAUACCCAUGCUCCGGUUGCGGCACGGCCUUGUUCCCGGAAUACUGUCACUCAUUCUCGACGGUCCUAUCAUGAAGAAGGCCCUUCUUCACAAGGCCAGUCGUGCGCGCGGUGUUGAAGGUUGACCGAGACCACGAAUCCAUCGCUGAGGAAGGGGAAGGCUUGACGGUGGUGGUGGAAAGGUGACUGCCCUGCUCGAAAAAGGACGAAAAGUGGACAAGGAGGCGAAAAAGGCUGAAGACGAACGCAGAUCGGAGCCAGUGAGGUAAGCUCUCUCAUUUUAUAGGGGGCGCGCGGGAAGCGAAAGGGCAAUCCGAUCACAGUUAUUGCGACACCAGGUACACCCGUCACCUCCGCUUUUUCGGAAACCGUGCGCACGAUCUCUUCCAACUGCAGGGAACGUCUCCCCUCCUCGUUUCGCGGGCCCGGUGUUUUCCACCGCUUCACCUCCCAGAGGAUGCACGCGCACGACUUCCUCCAGGUACGGCCCGGGGCCCACCAACAAGUAAAAAAGGGAUACGGAGCUGAAAACGCUCCUACGGUCCAGAGGUUCGAAGGCUGGCCCAACACAGGGUUCGACAGUCACCCCAGGACACUCCCGAGCAAGGGGUGAGAAGGGACGGCUCUGCUAGCGGCCACCACCCAGGCGAGCGAAAGCCAAGGGCGACCCGACCUCACGUUCGAGUCCGGUUUGCUGUUUAAGUUCAUGGUUUUUCCCUGAAGAAAGGCAAGGAGCCCCUGGAUCCCAUCGAACGGAUCCAGGAACUAUAUGAACUAGCCAUCCGGAAUCUGGAGUACGCCACCAGCUUGGCCUGAGUCGGACCCCCCCGAACGGGGACCAGGACUCCACUCAAACUAACCCAUUCAUAGCUCAACGGGCACCAUAGUUCGUCCAACGAGGAUAACGUGGCACGGCUCACCCCCUCCGUCCCAACGAACGGACGCUUGAGGGGUAACGAUCAAAAGUCGAUCCGACCUCUCGAUCGGUCCCCUGCAACGCACGGGGGCUGGAAUCGCAACCAACGACCACGCAUGUGGUCACAAUUUGGAGUCUUGGAGCAGGAGUGGUCGUCGGAACGAUAGGGAAUCUUCCCGAGCCGAGCCAUCCUCGGAACACCCUGCCUACCCAAACUCCCCGGCCAGGCGAAACGAGCGAAGCUUUUCCUCCUUAAUCACAUGCAGGUUGCAGGACAAACAAAGAUCCUUGACGAACAACAAACACAGCCUCUGGAGGAGCAUGUUUGCUCCACCAAUGGCUCGGGUGCUACUAUCGGGGAGAAAUAUUAACGACUUCCUUAUAUUCCUUAAACGACAGUCAUAAGGGCCCGAGCCCACCUCCAGCAAUAGUGACCUCCACCUUGCCCGACCCCCUGAGGCCACUCCUCAUCCCAGCCAAGAGAGUUCCGCCUCGCCCGACCCCUGGGCGAGAGUCCGACCCCUCACAGCAGGUCUCCACCUCACCCGACUCUGGGCGCAAGGGGUCGGACGCACCCGAUCCCUCGUCGCAAGUCUCCGCCUUGCCCGACCCCGGGCGCAAGGGGUCAGACGCGCUCAACCCCUUGUCGUAAGGCUCCACCUCGCCCGACCCCGGGCGCAAGGGGUCGGACGCGCCCGAUCCCUCAUCGCCCGACCCCGAGGGCUAAGGGUUGGACAUAUCCGGACCCACAGGAUAGAGCUUCGCCUCGCCCAAGGACAUGCGUGGACUAGCAGAUGAGGGCGCAGAUCUUGUGGGCCCCUACCGAUCUCGCCAUAAAUGCAACCGAUGGGACGCCCAUGUCCAGAAUACGGCUCUGACACAUGGAGAGGCGCCCACGUUCCUCGACGUGACCCACCCGAGUUUUCGAGCGGCGCACUGCUGCCACGACUGCACAGGGCUACAGCUGCACCAUCCUAACCCUCCCCUGUGACAUUCAUCAUAGGAUACUCAUCGCCCAUGCUGGCUAAUGAAGGAGGGUGCGCCGCCCGAUUUCCUGCUCGUCCUGGCGGUAGGGGCAUGUCAGUCGCACCCCCCGGUCAGCAUGCGGGGCUACAGUGGUCACCCAUCAUCCAUGACAUGCAUGGCUAUGGUGGCCAGUCAUCAUCAUCAACUCGCACAGCUACAGUGGUCGGUCACCAUGCACGUCUCACGUGUUCGACUGAAGUGGCCGACCGCUAGGUCAUCGAUGGGACCAAACGGCAACCACCCCUCCUCGGUGGCCAUGCUGACGAGACGCACAAAUCAAAAGGGAAGGCAGUAACCCUGGUGGCUCGGCCCAUCUCCCUAUGCUUUGCCUUCCUUUCUUACCUUUCUACCUUUUUACUUUCCUUACGCCCGGCUCAUUUGUAACCCCUGUAUCCUCGUUGCACUAUAAAAGGAGACCAGGGGGCCUGACGGCUCUCGAGUGAACCGAACGACCCCCAAUUCACAACCCUUCCACACGAGCAUCAGUACACACCCACAGAGACUUGGGACCAGCUUCCUUCUCUCGCCCAUUUGUAACCCCUACUACAAACUUGGCACGAGUAACACGAGCAGCCUCCCACACUGGACGUAGGGCUAUUCCUGCCCGAACCAGUAUAAAUUUUGUGUCCUCUCGUGCAACCAUCCAGGCCUUACGCGCAUAGAAAACAAAUUUACUUGCCGUGGUCUUGACCCGUGAUUCUUGACACCGACAGCUAGAUUGUAUUGUUAACAAUUGAAUUCAUGCUUGUUUAUUUUAUCGUACAAUUAGUUAUCUCUUCAUUGUUUGCAUGUUUGGGUAUGGUGUAUAGCUAGAUUCAGUAGCUUUGAAACUUGUUUUGUAGGUCUACUCUGCCUUGUCGUUCCACUUAAGAAACCUCUAACUAGCAUGUUAGGAUUUUUGUUCAUGACCAAAUCUGACUUUGGCCUUAUGCCCCUUUAAUCAUGCUAAAACAAUUGUAUAAAAAGGAAAACUAGGAAAUCACUUUUGCUAGUCUGCAUGCUUGAUUGAAAUCCUUAGUCAAAUAGUCAUACCUCACAGUGUCAUGAGACUAGUCCUGUGUUUCCCAAAAACUUGUUUCUUUAUGUUAGAUUUAUGCUUGGUCUUGUAGAGGUGGUUUACUUUUUCCUACAAAACUCAUAGGCAUAUCUAACUUAGUGUGUGCUUAGCUAAUUGUGAAACCAAAUCCUGAUUUUGUUUUUAUGCUUGUCCUGUCUUUUUAAAAAAAUAAUACCAAACAUGUUAUCUCAGGAUUUUCUUGGUAUUCAGUUUGUGUUCUUUUGCAACAUAUAGAUCAUUGUUGUUGUUUGAUUUCUAACUUCUUGCACUAGACAUCCUCCCAUGUUUCAUGCAUUCAUGAGCAUUUUCACUCAUAGCAUCAUCUCUAAUGUAUGCACACAUUUCUUUUAGAGAGAAAAUUUGCCAGAGAAUGGAACCUUUCAGACCAAAGUCGAGGCCAGCAUAAAAGUUGAUUUUGAGCCCGAAGAAAACCAAGGCAAGCGACUAAGCAUGUUUGUCGCCUACUUUUGAAAUGAAGUUGUUACUGUUGGUUGCAUGUGGGUGAUAAUAACUUAAUCUUGCAACUUGCUUAGUCAUGCUUAGUCAUAAAAUGAUCACUUAGUAAAAGAAACAGUCAUAGGUUAAUCAACACCUUUACUAAUAAGGUUCUUUAAGUUGUUUAAAAAUUUAGAAAUAGGAUAACUUUCCAAAUAAGUGUUAAGCAACCCUAAAGCGACCCACCCUUCUUUUGUGAAGUUUAAAUGAUUUGAACUUUAGAUGUGUACACAAUCACCAUCAAAGUCAACUCCAAGUUUUAAAUCGCAACACAUCUUACUUGACAAGAAAAUAAAUGGUUAUAACC